UGGGGAAUAUUGCACAAUGGAGGGAACUCUGAUGCAGCGACGCCGCGUGAACGAAGAAGGCUUUCGAGUCGUAAAGUUCUUUUAUAUGGGAAGAUAAUGACGGUACCAUAAGAAGAAGCCCCGGCUAACUACGUGCCAGCAGCCGCGGUAAUACGUAGGGGGCUAGCGUUGUCCGGAAUCACUGGGCGUAAAGGGUUCGCAGGCGGAAAUGCAAGUCAGGUGUAAAAGGCAGUAGCUUAACUACUGUAAGCAUUUGAAACUGCAUAGCUUGAGAAGAGUAGAGGUAAGUGGAAUUUUUAGUGUAGCGGUGAAAUGCGUAGAUAUUAAAAAGAAUACCGGUGGCGAAGGCGACUUACUGGGCUCAUUCUGACGCUGAGGAACGAAAGCGUGGGUAGCAAACAGG
rnacentral:rRNA from 1 species